CAACCUCAACUCAUAUGGGACUACCCCCUGAAUUUAAGCAUAUUAAUUAGGGGAGGAAAAGAAACUAACAAGGAUUUUCUUAGUAGCGGCGAGCGAAAAGAAAACAGUUCAGCACUAAGUCACUUUGUCUAUAUGGCAAAUGUGAGAUGCAGUGUAUGGAGCGUCAAUAUUCUAGUAUGAGAAAUUAAUGAUUUAAGUCCUUCUUAAAUGAGGCCAUUUACCCCUAGAGGGUGCCAGGCCCGUAUAACGUUAAUGAUUGCUAGAUGAUGUUUCCAAAGAGUCGUGUUGCUUGAUAGUGCAGCACUAAGUGGGUGGUAAACUCCAUCUAAAACUAAAUAUAACCAUGAGACCGAUAGUAGACAAGUACCGUGAGGGAAAGUUGAAAUGAACUCGGAAUAGAGAGUUAAACAGUACGUGAACCGGCUGAGAGGUUAAGCCCGAUGAACCUGAAUAUCCGUUAUGCAAAAUUCAUCAUUAAAAUUGUAAUAUUUAAAUAAUAUUAUUAAGAAUAAUGUGCAUUUUUUCCAUAUAAGGACAUUGUAAUCUAUUAGCAUAUCCCAAAUUUAUCAUAAAAUAUAACUUAUAGUUUAUUCCAAUUAAAUUGCUUGCAUAUUAACACAGAAUAAAUGUUAUUAAUAUGAUAAAGUGCUGAUAGAUUUAUAUUAUUACAGAGCGUUAAUUCUUCGGAAUUAUAUAAUGGCAUAAUUAUCAUUGAUUUUUGUGUUUAUUAUAUGCUCUUGUAUGAUUAACAAUGCGAAAGAUUCAGGAUACCUUCGGGACCCGUCUUGAAACACGGACCAAGGAGUCUAACAUAUGUGCAAGUUAUUGGGAUGUAAACCUAAUAGCGUAAUUAACUUGACUAAUAAUGGGAUUAGUUUUUUAGCUAUUUAUAGCUAAUUAACACAAUCCCGGGGCGUUCUAUAUAGUUAUGUAUAAUGUAUAUUUAUAUUAUUUAUGCCUCUAACUGGAACGUACCUUGAGCAUAUAUGCUGUGACCCGAAAGAUGGUGAACUAUACUUGAUCAGGUUGAAGUCAGGGGAAACCCUGAUGGAAGACCGAAACAGUUCUGACGUGCAAAUCGAUUGUCAGAAUUGAGUAUAGGGGCGAAAGACCAAUCGAACCAUCUAGUAGCUGGUUCCUUCCGAAGUUUCCCUCAGGAUAGCUGGUGCAUUUUAAUAUUAUAUAAAAUAAUCUUAUCUGGUAAAGCGAAUGAUUAGAGGCCUUAGGGUCGAAACGAUCUUAACCUAUUCUCAAACUUUAAAUGGGUAAGAACCUUAACUUUCUUGAUAUGAAGUUCAAGGUUAUGAUAUAAUGUGCCCAGUGGGCCACUUUUGGUAAGCAGAACUGGCGCUGUGGGAUGAACCAAACGUAAUGUUACGGUGCCCAAAUUAACAACUCAUGCAGAUACCAUGAAAGGCGUUGGUUGCUUAAAACAGCAGGACGGUGAUCAUGGAAGUCGAAAUCCGCUAAGGAGUGUGUAACAACUCACCUGCCGAAGCAACUAGCCCUUAAAAUGGAUGGCGCUUAAGUUGUAUACCUAUACAUUACCGCUAAAGUAGAUGAUUUAUAUUACUUGUGAUAUAAAUUUUGAAACUUUUAGUGAGUAGGAAGGUACAAUGGUAUGCGUAGAAGUGUUUGGCGUAAGCCUGCAUGGAGCUGCCAUUGGUACAGAUCUUGGUGGUAGUAGCAAAUAAUCGAAUGAGACCUUGGAGGACUGAAGUGGAGAAGGGUUUCGUGUGAACAGUGGUUGAUCACGAGUUAGUCGGUCCUAAGUUCAAGGCGAAAGCCGAAAAUUUUCAAGUAAAACAAAAAUGCCUAACUAUAUAAACAAAGCGAAUAUAAUACACUUGAAUAAUUUUGAACGAAAGGGAAUACGGUUCCAAUUCCGUAACCUGUUGAGUAUCCGUUUGUUAUUAAAUAUGGGCCUCGUGCUCAUCCUGGCAACAGGAACGACCAUAAAGAAGCCGUCGAGAGAUAUCGGAAGAGUUUUCUUUUCUGUUUUAUAGCCGUACUACCAUGGAAGUCUUUCGCAGAGAGAUAUGGUAGAUGGGCUAGAAGAGCAUGACAUAUACUGUUGUGUCGAUAUUUUCUCCUCGGACCUUGAAAAUUUAUGGUGGGGGACACGCAAACUUCUCAACAGGCCGUACCAAUAUCCGCAGCUGGGUCUCCAAGGUGAAGAGUCUCUAGUCGAUAGAAUAAUGUAGGUAAGGGAAGUCGGCAAAUUAGAUCCGUAACUUCGGGAUAAGGAUUGGCUCUGAAGAUUGAGAUAGUCGGGCUUGAUUGGGAAACAAUAACAUGGGUUUAUGUGCUCGUUCUGGGGUAAAUAGAGUUUCUAGCAUUUAUGUUAAUUUACUUUGUUCCCCCGGAUAGUUUAGUUACGUACCCAAAUUGUGGGAACUUUCCUGGCUAAAAAUUUUUAGAA
rnacentral:ncRNA from 1 species